AGAGUUUGAUCCUGGCUCAGGACGAACGCUGGCGGCGUGCUUAACACAUGCAAGUCGAACGAGGUGCUUGCACCUAGUGGCGAACGGGUGAGUAACACGUGAGCAACCUGCCCCUGGCUCUGGGAUAGCCUCCGGAAACGGGGAUUAAUACCGGACAUGACUCCUUCCCGCAUGGGUUGGGGUGGAAAGUUUUUCGGCUG
rnacentral:rRNA from 1 species